UACGUAGGUGGCAAGCGUUGUCCGGAUUUACUGGGCGUAAAGCGCACGUAGGCGGACUAUUAAGUCAGGGGUGAAAUCCCGGGGCUCAACCCCGGAACUGCCUUUGAUACUGGUAGUCUUGAGUUCGAGAGAGGUGAGUGGAAUUCCGAGUGUAGAGGUGAAAUUCGUAGAUAUUCGGAGGAACACCAGUGGCGAAGGCGGCUCACUGGCUCGAUACUGACGCUGAGGUGCGAAAGUGUGGGGAGCAAACAGG
rnacentral:rRNA from 1 species